UCACGUUGAAUCACCGGUUCUUUUACGAUCCCCGAUGUUAAGCAACGUCGAGCCUGAUCAGUACCUAGAGGCGUGGCCGCUUUUGAAUACUAGGUGCUGUAAG